rnacentral:misc_RNA from 1 species
AAGUCGUAACAAGGUUUCCGUAGGUGAACCUGCGGAAGGAUCAUUAACGAACUUGAAAUCGGGAGUCUGUUGCUGGUGCGGAAACGUACAUCGUGCACGGCUUCUGUGUUCAAUUCAACCCCUGUGCACCUCAUCGAAGCCGGUAGUCCCUUUAUCUUCUUCGUUUUGCCGGUCGCGUGCGGUGCGGAUCGCGAGUAGCGAGUAAGGCGAACGCAACUCCGGUUGUCAGUAGCUUGAAACCGAAAGUGGUCUUGCCUUCACGUUCGGCCGGCGAGAGGGGGGAGAGGUCGAGGGUCGAAAGCUUUGACUUGCCAUUAAACGCUUUGUAUGUCUUGUGGAAUGUAUUAGCUCCUUCGUGGGCGAAAUAAAUACAACUUUCAACAACGGAUCUCUUGGCUCUC